rnacentral:rRNA from 1 species
UUGGAAGUUCUUCGGAACUGGAAUCUAUGACUUAGUGGCGGACGGGUGAGUAACGCGUGAGCAAUCUGCCUUUCAGAGGGGGAUAACAGCCGGAAACGGCUGCUAAUACCGCAUAAUGCAUUGAAUUCGCAUGUUUUUGAUGCCAAAGAUUUUAUCGCUGAAAGAUGAGCUCGCGUCUGAUUAGCUAGUUGGCGGGGUAACGGCCCACCAAGGCGACGAUCAGUAGCCGGACUGAGAGGUUGAACGGCCACAUUGGGACUGAGACACGGCCCAGACUCCUACGGGAGGCAGCAGUGGGGAAUAUUGCGCAAUGGGGGCAACCCUGACGCAGCAACGCCGCGUGAUUGAUGAAGGUCUUCGGAUUGUAAAAAUCUUUAAUCAGGGACGAAGAAAAUGACGGUACCUGAAGAAUAAGCUCCGGCUAACUACGUGCCAGCAGCCGCGGUAAUACGUAGGGAGCAAGCGUUAUCCGGAUUUACUGGGUGUAAAGGGCGUGUAGGCGGGCUUGCAAGUUGGAAGUGAAAUCCAGGGGCUUAACCCCUGAACUGCUUUCAAAAC